rnacentral:rRNA from 1 species
UACGUAGGGGGCAAGCGUUGUCCGGAAUCAUUGGGCGUAAAGCGCGCGUAGGCGGCCCGGUAAGUCCGCUGUGAAAGUCGGGGGCUCAACCCUCGGAUGCCGGUGGAUACUGUCGGGCUUGAGUGCGGAAGAGGCGAGUGGAAUUCCUGGUGCAGCGGUGAAAUGCGCAGAUAUCAGGAGGAACACCAAUUGCGAAGGCGGCUCUCUGGACCAGUACUGACGCUGAGGCACGAAAGCGUGGGGAGCAAACAGG